GAUGAACGCUGGCGGUAUGCUUAACACAUGCCAGUCGAACGGACUCUUCGGAGUUAGUGGCGGACGGGUGAGUAACGCGUGAGAAUCUGGCUUUGGGUUCGGGACAACCACUGGAAACGGUGGCUAAUACCGGAUGUGCCGAGAGGUAAAAGAGAAAUUGCCUGAAGAUGAGCUCGCGUCUGAUUAGCUAGUUGGUGAGGUAAAGGCUCACCAAGGCAGCGAUCAGUAGCUGGUCUGAGAGGAUGACCAGCCACACUGGGACUGAGACACGGCCCAGACGCCUACGGGAGGCAGCAGUGGGGAAUUUUCCGCAAUGGGCGAAAGACUGACGGAGCAAUACCGCGUGAGGGAAGAAGGCUCUUGGGUUGUAAACCUCUUUUCUUAGGGAAGAACAAAAUGACGGUACCUAAGGAAUCAGCAUCGGCUAACUCCGUG
rnacentral:rRNA from 1 species